UGCCAGUGAUAAACUGGAGGAAGGUGGGGAUGACGUCAAGUCAUCAUGGCCCUUACGAGUAGGGCUACACACGUGCUACAAUGGCAUAUACAAAGAGAAGCGACCUCGCGAGAGCAAGCGGACCUCAUAAAGUAUGUCGUAGUCCGGAUUGGAGUCUGCAACUCGACUCCAUGAAGUCGGAAUCGCUAGUAAUCGUGGAUCAGAAUGCCACGGUGAAUACGUUCCCGGGCCUUGUACACACCGCCCGUCACACCAUGGGAGUGGGUUGCAAAAGAAGUAGGUAGCUUAACCUUCGGGAGGGCGCUUACCACUUUGUGAUUCAUGACUGGGGUGAAGUCG
rnacentral:rRNA from 1 species